CACGUAGUUAGCCGUGGCUUUCUGGUGAGGUACCGUCAAGGUACCGCCCUACUCGAACGGUACCGCUUCUUCCCUCACAACAGAGCUUUACGACCCGAAGGCCUUCCUCACUCACGCGGCGUUGCUCCGUCAGACUUUCGUCCAUUGCGGAAGAUUCCCUACUGCUGCCUCCCGUAGGAGUCUGGGCCGUGUCUCAGUCCCAGUGUGGCCGAUCACCCUCUCAGGUCGGCUACGCAUCGUUGCCUUGGUAAGCCGUUACCUUACCAACUAGCUAAUGCGCCGCGGGCCCAUCCCCUAGUGAUAGCCGAAGCCAUCUUUCACCCUCUCUCCAGGUGGAGAAAGGGAUUAUCCGGUAUUAGCUCCGGUUUCCCGGAGUUAUCCCAGUCUAAGGGGCAGGUUGCCCACGUGUUACUCACCCGUCCGCCGCUAAGUUUCAAAAAGCAAGCUUCUUGAAACUCCGCUCGACUUGCAUGUAUUAGGCACGCCGCCAGCGUCUCUCGUACGUACGACGACGUACGUAACGUAACUACUACGUACGUACGUAC
rnacentral:rRNA from 1 species